GGCACAGAUCUCGCUUAAGUAAACCCACAGGUAACCAACGGCGGUUGCCCCACCUACGACAAAGACGUCGC
rfam:Pseudomonas fluorescens F113, complete genome.